rnacentral:snRNA from 1 species
GUGCUCGCUUUGGCAGCACAUAUACUAAAAUUGGAACGAUACAGAGAAGAUUAGCAUGGCCCCUGUGCAAGGAUGACACACAAAUUCAUGAAGCAUUCCAUAUUUUU